UCAGGUAAGCGCGGGAACUUAUCCCGCGAAAAUUCUGUGCGAAGGUACGAGUAUAUUCGGCGGUAUCUGCGAAAAGGGGCCAUCGUUCUUUCCUUAAGGUAAGGUCUUAACUGUGUAAAACUUCGCGAGGAAGAAAUUCUACUCGCUGGCCUGUCCAAUUUGGCUUUUAGAUAAGGUUGUAUGCCUGAUAAUUUCUGUCUAGAGCUAUAUGAUGACGCGCGAUAAAUCUCGCUGCUUAAUAACCUUUGAGCGGAAAAUGAUGAUGCCCAAACCAUUUAAUCAGCAAAGCAAGGUUUACCUUUACUUCUGUGCUUUCGAAGCAAGAGAAGGAAUUAUUUCUGUGAUAGUUAGGUGACAGAUGCUUAAAAUCACAUGGUGUAUUAUCAAACUGUUGAAACCUAACAUGAGCAAGAUGAACUAAUUAUGGAAUGAACCCUGACAUCACAGCUCAAAUAUUCCUUCCCUAUAAGAUGACGCGCUCUUGGCAGAUUUAAUUGAACGUUAACCGCGAAAAGCCGUGAUGAAAAAGCAAUGUUUGUUUUAAUAGAAAAAGAUAGUUUUCCUGUUUAGAUGACCAACCAACCUUAACUUAAUUACACAUCAUAAGUGCACGUUCCGUUGACUGGUAAUUUUUACGUCGAUGUUGUGUUUGCCUUGGUGGUGUCUGUCCUCAAAUCCCGUGAUUUUUCAAUUAAAAAUAAAUAACGAAUUUAGGAAUAAAAUUACCAACGAGUAAAAUACCUCUUCUCGUAACGUAUUAAAUUGCAUUUACAUUUCCAACUCUUGCUUCAGACACGAGAUGUAAAAUCGGUCAUAGAUUGUAAAAGAGAUUUGUGAGUAAAGAACUUUUUCUACUUG